UUUGGUUUGUUACGUGUGGUUGGCUGCGGCGUUUGCAACAACUUCCAUGCUUUCAGACCUCUUCAGUUGUGCGGCAAGGCUUGUAUCGCCUUGAGCGUAUUGUGGGUUUUCUGUGUUGGCUACCUAAUCAAUGGUAUCGGUUGGAUUGAUCAAUGUUUCAUUUCGUCUACCGUCGCAUUCGCGGCGUGAGAUGAACCUUGAUGCGGUCUCUUUGAUCCACCUCGUCGAAGCGCAUGCUUUGGCGUUGUGGCACAUUGAGCAUUGCUUGGUCUCUUGUAUACGGAACAUAUAGUGGGCAUGGAUCUAACGAUUCUCGUUUGCCCUCAUAUUAGCGUAACGCUUCUCUUACACGACUUGCACCACGUUUUAG
rnacentral:misc_RNA from 2 species